GCCAUUUAUAACUUUUAUUCAUCUAAGUGUUUGGACUAUUGUCCUCCUUAGUAUAGUAUUACCUACUCGCUUAUUUAUUUAUUUGAUUUUAUAAUUUAUUGUUGUUUCUCCGAUAUUUUUGGAGUUUUAUGUAAAGGGGUUUUGUUGCAAUUGGGACGCAAGUCCUGUCCAAACUCCUGUCAUAUACUUAUAAUUAUGAUAUUAUAUGUAAUAUAUGGCAAAUUCAUUAAAC